CUAAUUAACACAUCAUUAAAAGAGAAAUGGGCCUGAUAUACUCAUAAGUCCAACAGCAAGGGCGGUGUAUCAGAAUCAUGGGAGUGUAUUUCUCCAGAAUUCGUUUGGGCUCAAGGAGGAGGGAACACGGCCCAUUCACCACACACUGAACCUAGAGUGCACUAAUGGGAUCUAACGGAGAAGACGUUUCUCAACAACAAUGGCGAAUCACAGCGGCACAGUGGAGAUUCCACGCGAACACGACCGCAUCUCAACGGCGGCUUGGCGUUCGCAUCCAUCAACGUCGCCGUCCCUCGGUGGCUUCAUCUUCUUCAACGAUCCAAUGGAGACGCGAUCGGAGCGCAAUCCGGAGAGCGAAUCUUGAUCGUCGCCAUCGAAUCUCCUUCACUUUGAUUUCAGUCAUCAUUCUCCGCGAAUUGGAACCGCAAGAUCCUGCUAUGAACCGUGGCUAUUGCAUUUCCCAGUGUACCGAGAAGAAGACGCGAAUCUCGC
rnacentral:lncRNA from 1 species